rnacentral:rRNA from 1 species
GGCGACGACGGGUAGCCGGCCUGAGAGGGCGACCGGCCCACUGGGACUGAGACACGGCCCACACUCCUACGGGAGGCAGCAGUGGGGAAUAUUGCACAAUGGGCGCAAGCCUGAUGCAGCGACGCCGCGUGAGGGAUGACGGCCUUCGGGUUGUAAACCUCUUUCAGCAGGGAAGAAGCGAGAGUGACGGUACCUGCAGAAGAAGCGCCGGCUAACUACGUGCCAGCAGCCGCGGUAAUACGUAGGGCGCAAGCGUUGUCCGGAAUUAUUGGGCGUAAAGAGCUCGUAGGCGGCUUGUCGCGUCGGUUGUGAAAGCCCGGGGCUUAACCCCGGGUCUGCAGUCGAUACGGGCAGGCUAGAGUUCGGUAGGGGAGAUCGGAAUUCCUGGUGUAGCGGUGAAAUGCGCAGAUAUCAGGAGGAACACCGGUGGCGAAGGCGGAUCUCUGGGCCGAUACUGACGCUGAGGAGCGAAAGCGUGGGGAGCGAACAGGAUUAGAUAUCCUGGUAGUCCACGCCGUAAACGGUGGGCACUAGGUGUGGGCAACAUUCCACGUUGUCCGUGCCGCAGCUAACGCAUUAAGUGCCCCCGCCUGGGGAGUACGGCCGCAAGGCUAAAACUCAAAGGAAUUGACGGGGGCCCGCACAAGCGGCGGAGCAUGUGGCUUAAUUCGACGCACGCGAAGAACCCUUACCGAGGCUUGACAUACACCGGAAAGCAUCAGAGAUGGUGCCCCCCUUGUGGUCGGUGUACAG